rnacentral:rRNA from 1 species
GUUUAACAAAAACAUAGCUUUGUGAAUUAAUACAAAGUGGUGCCUGCCCGGUGAAACUUUAACGGCCGCAGUACUUUGACUGUGCUAAGGUAGCAUAAUCAUUUGGCUUUUAAUUGGGGUCUUGUAUGAAGGAAGAAUGGGGUAAUACUGUCUCUACUAAAUUUAAUAAAAGUUGCUAAUAAGGUGAAAAUACCUUAAAAAAUAUACUAGACGAGAAGACCCUAGGAGUUUAAUAUAUAUAUUUUGUUGGGGCGACACAACAACAUUUAACUUGUUGAAUUAUACUUAUAUAUCGGAUAUUUCAUAUAAAUAUAAGCUACCCUAGGGAUAACAGCAUAAUUUAUUAAAGUUUGUGACCUCGAUGUUGGACUAGGGUAAUUUUAUUAUUAAAAAUAAUAAAAGGUAGUUCUGUUCGAACUUAUUUCCCUACAUGAUCUGAGUUCAAAC